AGAGUUGGGUAGUCCGCACGAGCGCACCUUACUUUUAGUUGCCAUCAUUUAGUUGGGCACUCUGUAAAGAACUGCCAGUGAUAAGCUGGAGGAAGGUGGGGAUGACGUCAAGUCCUCAUGGCCCUUACGUGUUGGGCUACACACGUGCUACAAUGGUAUCUACAACAGGAAGCAAAACAGCGAUGUUAAGCAAAUCCCGAAAAGAUACCUCAGUUCGGAUUGCACUCUGCAACUCGAGUGCAUGAAGCUGGAAUUACUAGUAAUCGUGGAUCAGCGUGCCACGGUGAAUGCGUUCCCGGGUCUUGUACACACCGCCCGUCACACCAUGGGAGUUGGUUCUACCUUAAGGCAAGGUUUAAUACCCUUGACCACGGUAUAGUCAGCGACUGGGGUGAAGUCGUAACAAGGUAGCCGUAGGGGAACCUGCGGCUGGAUUACCUCCUUUCU
rnacentral:rRNA from 1 species